CUAGGGCGCUGUUUUCAAAUUUAAUUUUCUUCCGGUUUUGUCCAGCACCACGAGAACAUGAGGACGCGGCGAAAAGUUGGACAAUGAUCACAAGACUCCUACCGUGAAUCUGGCGCAGUUUAUCAGGGGUUCCCUACACUGGUCCUCGAAGACAGCUGGUCAACAUGUUUUCCAGCAUCUCUGCCCAUCAUCCACCUGCUGUGUGUUCAGUCAGAGCUGAAAAUGACCAUUUCAGGGUGAAUAACAGUCAGUCAUCUGUCAGACAGAAUUCAAUACUCUUUCUCCAGGCCAACUAAUUGUCUCCAGUGCAAAUGAUCCUUUGUCAUCCCACUCUCUGAGGACACUCCAGAGUAGUAAUUGUCAUUGUGGACUCCAGCAGGUCUACAUGUUCUGUUAAGAGACUGGAUUCUGAGAGCGAGAUCCUGUGAAGUGUUCAUCAAAGCUGAAGAGAAGAACUGCAUCUGUCGUCUGUAAAGAGGGUCGGGACAACUGUAAAUGAGAAUAUACAUCGGUCAACGUGACUUCUAUUCAACAUCUAUGGUCGCAAUCCCAAGGUUCAUUGCGAUCCCAAGGUCCACUGCGGUUUUCCACGCGUCUGUUUCUGCCUAU